GUCCUCUGAUCGACUUGUCGUUAGUGCCACCUGUCUGGUGGCCGGAACCCAUGAUGGAACCGAGGAUCUGAAGGGC
rnacentral:snoRNA from 1 species